UACGAGAGGCCCAAACGUUAUUCGGAUUUACUGGGCUUAAAGAGUUCGUAGGCGGCGCAGAAAGUAGGGUGUGAAAGCCCUCGGCUCAACCGAGGAAUUGCGCUCUAAACUACUACGCUCGAGGAACCUAGAGGUGAGCAGAACUGAUGGUGGAGCGGUGAAAUGCGUUGAUAUCAUCAGGAAUACCGGUGGCGAAAGGCGGGUCAUCCUG
rnacentral:rRNA from 1 species